rnacentral:rRNA from 1 species
GACGAACGCUGGCUGCGUGCUUAACACAUGCAAGUCGAACGGAAAGGCCCUGCUUUUGUUGGGUGCUCGAGUGGCGAACGGGUGAGUAACACGUGAGUAACCUUCCCUUGACUUUGGGAUAACUUCAGGAAACUGGGGCUAAUACCCGAUAGGAGCUCCUGCUGCAUGGUGGGGGUUGGAAAGUUUCGGCGGUUGGGGAUGGACUCGCGGCUUAUCAGCUUGUUGGUGGGGUAGUGGCUUACCAAGGCUUUGACGGGUAGCCGGCCUGAGAGGGUGACCGGCAACAUUGGGACUGAGAUACGGCCCAGACUCCUAAGGGAGGCAGCAGUGGGGAAUAGUGCACAAUGGGCGGAAGCCUGAUGCAGCAACGCCGCGUGCGGGAUGACAGCCUUCGGGUUGUAAACCGCUUUCGCCGGUGACGAAGAGUGAGUGAAGGUAAUGGGUAAAGAAGCACCGGCUAACUACGUG